CAUCCACAGCAUGUGAACAUCUGUCGACAAGACAUGCUACAUCCAUGAUGGGCAUGAUGUACAAAUAGCCAUCACCCACACACCCACUGGCUUUUCAUCCCUCUCUGUCUUUUGCUCACACACUCGCCCUCACACGGCUGUUUCUAACAGACACACACAGGCGCACACUCAUUUACACAAACUGGAGGAAGCACUAUAAAUAGUAUGCCGAAGAUGUGAUGCUGCGUGUGGCUUCUCCCUGUGGGUUUAUAUGUGUGUGACUGUCAGAGUGACGAGAGAGGGAGAGCAAGAGGACGGUAAGCGAAAGGAAGGCUCUGCUCACGUCUGGCGCACAGCCAGUGAUAAACACAAAGUGACAGGCGUGGCAAAGAUGGCCAGCAUGGCGUGACUUACCCCUGGCAGGGUCUUCUGCUCGUGCAAUGCAUUCUGGGCUUUCAGGGCUGACUCCCUGGCACAGUAGGUGAGGAAGGCACAGCCUGAAACACAGCAAAACAGAGACAUCAUUAUAUAAUGUGAACUGGGGAAGAAAAAGAGGAUGUCGGAGGGUGCUCCAGCAAUCACACCAAAUAGCUAAAAACAACAGAAACUCGAAGAGCCUGUCUGUCACCUUCAUUCUAAUCAAGAAUAUGGAUUUAUUAUUGCGCAUGAUGAGCAACACAACAGCAACUGAACAAACGGAAAAUUCCUUUUCGCAUGAGCGCAGUCAAGUCGGCACUGAGAAAUUAAGGAGGGCAAUAUCUGCUGGCUUGCAGAUUUGUGCAAUAUGCUGCGUGAGAGCUCCUCUGCCUGAGAAACACGUCAGAUGUGACGGAGCUUCCCAGCUGCCAGUUAUCCAUUCGCCCAUCACACUCUUCUGGCGGUUGUGACACAGAUAGACAUUUUCCCUGACAACCACCCCCCCGUUUCUUUUCCACUCUUCAUUUGUCCAACUCUCGACUCCAUAUGUUCUUCCAAGACAACCUACAAUCCUUGGGUUGAUUGCCACCUGGUUUGACAUGGGGGUGGGAGGAAGAUGGCGACGCAGGAGGCGAGGCAGGAGAAGAAGCCAUGGGGAAAGUGUAAGCCUCUCCCUCACCAUCCCAUGAUGACAACGAGGAGCACACCACUGGCGAGGGCUGACAGACUGUCAAUCUUCACAUCUAAGAAAAUAAUUUAGGUGGAUGACAAAUAACUAAAAUGUGCCAAUGUAAACCAUUGACAAUGGUGACAUGAUUUAAUUAGACAAACAAAAUCCUUAAAAGUCAUGCAUACAUUUUUAAGAUGCGACGAUAUGUAGUUCUUAAUUCGACUUCAGUAACGCAGACAAUAAUACUAUCAGGCAUUUGAAGCGUUAAAAAACAACAUUAGAAAAAAAAUGUCACGGCACACCCCCAAACAAAAAUGGCACAGAAAGUGGAUACAUAAGUGAAUUGCCAUCUAGUGGGAGAGCAUUUGUCUGCAGCGGUCCCGGGCAUCCAACUCCGAGGGGUGGGGCAUCCAAAGAGGUUUGGGUGGGCAUUGAAACUGUAGACAAUUUCUCACAGCACACCGGAUGAUCUCUCACGGCACACUGGGAUUCACUUUACUGGAGAAACGGGAUGCAACAAACACAUUUUGUUCUUUGCCAUCAAGGAGUGAUCACAAUUCUCACAGCUUCCUCUUAUAGCUCAUCCUGGUAACGUUGUUAAGUCAAGUUUAUUUGUAUAGCCCUUAAUUACAAAAGCGUCUCAAAGUGCUUCACGGGCCCACAGUUGGCAAUGAUUGACGACAUCCCCUAAUUUAAACCACCCAAUCGGGAAAAGAAAAACUCAAAACCCCGUUGUUGUUUAUACAAACCAUGUUAUUAGUUGUCGUUACCAACCCCAUAUAGUGUAUGUGGAAGUUGCCUCCACCCCUCCUGAUGCUUUGUCUUUAACCCCAGGUCUUACUGAUGGUAAUGCACAAGGGAGCUGCUCUUGUUGGUGUUUUUAAUUAACAGGCCUCUCACUCAUUAGGCCAAAUGAGUUGGCCGCUGACAGCUCAGCUACCUCCUCGUCCUCUCUUGGCCUGUCAUGUUAACUCGAACACGCAUGUGCUGUCCCCCUGGAAAUGCACAGACACUUAACUCGCUUGCAUGUACUCUACCAUAAUGUUCAUUAUGUUCAGUGGAUAUUAAAAGUCUGCACACUGCUGUUUAAAUGCCAAGAUUUUGUGAUAUAAAAUAAUGAGAAAAAUAUAAAUAAUUUCUUUUUCCACCAUUAAUGUGACAUCUAACCUGUACAACUAAAUUGAUUUAAAAAAAAAAUUUAAAAAUAAAAAGAAUUAAAAAUUUGAGUGGGGAUGUAAAAUUUAACAUCUGAGAUAUCAGUCAGGAGAAGGCCACAAAAUAAUUUCCAAGACAUUAAACAUACAAUGAAAACAUUGAAGACAGUCAUCAUCAAGUGGAGAAAAUAUGCUACAACAGUAACAUUACCAAAAACUGGACGGCAAUCAAAAUUGAAAAAUGAUUGAUUGAAAAGUGGUCAGGGAGGCUGACAGUAACAUUGGAGCUGCAGGAAUUUCUAGCAAGUGCUGGCUGUUUAGCACACGUGACAAAAGUUUCCUGUCUCCUUCAUGUCUGAGCUUUGAGGUAGGGUCAAAAGAAGGAAUAUACUUGCGAGGGCAGCGACCGUGCUGAUGUCACUACGGCUAUCCCGCGCGCAGUUUGCCUUUAUACUCGAGCGCAACCCACACACGCUGUUUUGAAAAUGUACUGCAGUUCUCCUCCAAGUCGGGGGUGUCGCAAUGGCUGGUAUUGGCUAGGACACCACAGGGUGGAGUUUCCUCUGGAUUUUAUGGCCAUUUCCAGUAGCCGUUUUUACUUUACUUUCCGGAACAAGGAACAAAGCAACAACAAUGGCGACCGUGGAACAGUGUCUGCUAGAACAAAUGGACCUAGAUGACCAGAUGAUACGUUUAUUUAUACUGCAAGAUCGAUCAAGGCGGCGUAGGUGGUAUGUGGAACCAAGGGGAAAGCUGAGUACGUCAUCACAACAUGUGACUAAAACGGACCAAUCACGAGAGAUGAUCUCUGCACCAUUCUACGCGCAGCAACAAUUUUUGCCAUGUGCGCGUCAAAUGCCGCUUAGGGGCCGCGCGGCCCAAUGCGUCGGUCACAUGAUGCGGGCGGUCACAUGAUGAGUCAGUCACAUGAUGCGGGCGCUGUCGGCCGUGCGAGCGCGGAAGUAUAAAGAGGCCUUUACAAAGAAAAAAAUCCAAACUUGGCUACAUUUUUCUAAAUCACACUUGAAAUCUCCUCAGCACGUGUCUGUAGGAAAAUGUGUUUUAAUCCAAUGAAACAGAGACAAAAACACAACACUACUCAUCACCAAAACAACCCAAACAAGUACCUACAAUAGUGGUGGCAGUUUUGGGGAUGUUUUUUAGCUGGAACUGGGGCCUUAGUUUAGUUGGGGGGAAAUAUGAACGUUCCAUCAACAUCUGUGGGGUGAUCUGAAGAGGGCUGUGCACAGCAGAUGCCCUCACAAGUUGGCGGACCGGAAAUCACGGCGACGACAAACCCACAAUAUUGCAGUCUUGCUUGCUGUCCCUAAUCAAGUGGCCGGGCUCACAUAUAAAAAAAUGGUUUGCUACUUGAAAUCACCACGAAAGGAGGAAAAACAAGACUAUUUUGUGUUGAUGUAGUUUGCUUUGCUGAAGACAGUGAAAUGUCAGUGAUUGUGUCAUCUCGUACUUUUGACCAAGUAAUGAGUGAGCUUACAUUAAUAGCUAUGCAAUCUAUACAUUAAACAAUCGAACGAUAUUAAAAUCAAGUACUGACAUGGAAGAAUUUGCAUUAAUGAUAGGACUCAACACUGCCUUGAGUGAAUUGUAAUCCAGUAAUUUUGCACAGAGAUAAAUGGACCGGAAGUCACUCCUUAAGAGUUAAAACCGGACAUACGUGGCAUUACCCCUAUGAAAGCCAAAGUUGCUGUGGCAAAGUAUUAGUUUGGGUUUUUGCAUAGUCAUACAACCAGGUUAUGCUAUGUUUUUCUAUUUCUUAUUUAUCCUUCCUAAGAUUUUUUGUUUGUUUUAAUUCAAUGGAGUUUUACAGUUUAUACGUCACAAUGGUGAAAAAAAGUGUGUAGACUUUUUAUAUCCACUAUCGAUGCCAACUUUGCCAAACCAAUGUGAGAGGUUUGUGGGGUUUUGUAUUAAAAAAAAAAAAAGCAGGUAUCCUAACAUUACUGAAAAAAAAACUACUUUCUAUGUCAUAAAACUAUUAUUACAAAACUGUGUUCCUGUUUUUGUUUGUAUUUUGUUUUUCAGCUUCCUCUGUGAGCAUUUGUGGGCGGAGCCUCUUGUGCCACACCUGCUGGCAAUUUCAAUAAGCAAGGAGCCUAGUGAGUGACUUCUGCAGUUACGCUCAGUCGUGAUGGCCGUUUUCCACAAGCACCUGUCUCCAAACUGCCUCAUCACUACCGGUAUUUAAGCCUGCCUGUUCCAGGAAAUCCUCGCCAAAGUAUUGCAGUCUCUCCUAGCGUGCUCCCCUGUGUUCCUGACCAACGUCAUUCCUGCCACCAAGCCAGCCGCCUGUUCUGUCCACUGCCUUCCACCUGUCCACGCCGCCGCCUGCCAACACAUCCAGGACUCCAUAACCUUUGCUCAAUAAACUGUUAAUCUGCCUCCACCUGCUCUUUGGUCCAGGUGUGUACUAAUAUAAAGAAACCAAGAGAUAAAUUCACCUUACAAAGUUAAAAUUAGAUGUGUAAUGAAUAAAUUUUGUACCUCUAUUUAUUGGAAGGUUUCUUGAAAUGAUACACACGGAGUCCUAAUUUUUCUGGCCAUCUAAGCACGUUUUCUCCCACAAGCUUUUUUUGUUGUUGUCUUGUAGUGGUCAAGGUAUGUGACUUUCUCUGAGCCAGGGAGGGAGUGUGCAAGGGUGUGUUUUUAUUAUUAAUUCAGUCAUCCAGGUGCACGCGAUGCAUCCAUCCAUCCAUCCAUUCUCAAUACCGCUCAUCCUGUUCAGGGUUGCGGGGGCGCUGGAGCCUAUCCCCGCUGACUUCGGGCGAAAGACGGACUACACCCUGAACUAGUCACCUGUCAGUCACAGGGCAUAUAGACACAGACAACCAUUCACACUCACAUUCACACCGUCACUGAGUGGGAACUGAAACCACGCUGCCCGCACCAAGGUCAGGCGAAUGCACCACUACACCAUCAGUGACUUGCAUGCGAUGCAUUUAAGUGAAAUAACUGCAUUUCAUACAACUAUUCUAUUAGGAAAAAUACAGUUAUGCAGGACAGUGCGACAAAUGUGCUUUUAUCCUGGAAAGUCAUGGAAGGAUGGUUGCUAUAUGACAGCAGCGUUUGCCUGGUGAAGCUGCUUUUCUAAAUGUGCUUUCCAAGCCUUGAUUUUUUUUCUUUUUUUGAAUGGCCCCAAUUGUCUCAUUCAAGAAACUGCUUAUCUAAAAGAGAUGACUCAGCUGCCACCUGGACUUUGACACCUUCUAUAGUGCUAUAGUUUCCUCCCUAUGGGCUGAAUAUGCCAAAAUGGGAUGUUACGAGAUCAGUCACAACACAAAAUAGUUAUGAUACAAAAUUGGUUUGAAGCAAAGUUUUUAUCCUGAUAAAACCUUUAAACCUUUCAUCAGAUACCUUUCAUGCAGUUUAAAAAAGAAAAGCACAAUAUUAAAAAAACACCAAUACAUCACU